rnacentral:rRNA from 1 species
GUGCCAGCCGCUGCGGUAAUACGUAGGUGGCAAGCGUUGUCCGGAAUUAUUGGGCGUAAAGCGCGCGCAGGCGGUCCUUUAAGUCUGAUGUGAAAGCCCACGGCUCAACCGUGGAGGGUCAUUGGAAACUGGGGACUUGAGUGCAGAAGAGGAAAGUGGAAUUCCAAGUGUAGCGGUGAAAUGCGUAGAGAUUUGGAGGAACACCAGUGGCGAAGGCGACUUUCUGGUCUGUAACUGACGCUGAGGCGCGAAAGCGUGGGAGCAAACGAGGAUUAGAUACCCUGGUAGUCCACGCCGUAAACGAUGAGUGCUAAGUGUUAGGGGGUUUCCGCCCCUUAGUGCUGCA